rnacentral:rRNA from 1 species
UACGUAGGGUGCGAGCGUUGUCCGGAAUUACUGGGCGUAAAGCGCACGUAGGCGGCUUUGUAAGUUAGAGGUGAAAGCCUGGAGCUCAACUCCAGAAUUGCCUUUAAGACUGCAUCGCUUGAAUCCAGGAGAGGUGAGUGGAAUUCCGAGUGUAGAGGUGAAAUUCGUAGAUAUUCGGAAGAACACCAGUGGCGAAGGCGGCUGACUGGACAUGUAUUGACGCUGAGGUGCGAAAGCGUGGGGAGCAAACAGG